AUGAAAGUUGAGCAAUUAAUUAAUAGUAUCAUAUCACAAGAUUAUUCGUUGAUGAAUCGGAAGCUGCUUGAUCAAAUUCAACGAAAUAGUACAAAAGAGACGGCUGCAGUACAGGUUGAGCUCCUUGUACUGACGCGUUGCAGCCACGGGUUUGGUACUUGAAAGCAGUGGUACCAUCAAAUCCACGAAGAAACGGCAGUACAAGUCCACAGCCUGUGAGCGCCUCAUAAAUAUCCAUCCCUGGAAGCGGCAAAGCUCAUGUCGGUUCCACAGCCGGAGCAAUGGCAACCACAAGGGGGCGGGAAUUGUAUAGUCGAUGAUGAGGCAUUAGAGGCAGGUAAGUAAGUUUCUUUGCAGGGCUCUAAUCGAUAGCAAUGACAAGUGCCUCGAGAGUUCUUGCAGUCUUCCCGCACCACAUCGCCCUUGCAGCAGAAGAAUCUGACAAUUGCAAGGAGGAUGAUUCAUUCAUUGCAAAGCUUAAACGAACAUGUUUCGAGGCACAAAAAAUAUAUUUCAUGUGUAACUCUUUUCUAAGUGCCACAUUUAUUUUUACAA